rnacentral:lncRNA from 1 species
CCCAGACUAGCAACAGCAGAAACCCUUUAAUACCCCGGGGCCAAAGGGUGAGGAGAGAAUGGGCUGCUGGACCCUCCCAGAACUCUGGAGGGCUGUUUCUCCAUGGGGUCAUUCUGCCUGACACUGUGGGCUCAGGUGGGGGUGCUGCAGGGCUGCUGCUCGACACCCUCUCAUUUGCAGGGCAGCCCUAGCACAGAGAAUGGUUGAGUAGAAAUGCUAGUGCAGCUGAAGUUGAGAAACACCAGAGAGAAACCCAGCCUUUCUGAAAACCCGCUACUGGAAGGAAGGAAGCAGAGGAAACCAAGGCCCUCCCCACCUCUGAUGGCCGGUGCCUCCCUCUGGCUGAAAUCCUGGAACAGGACCUGGGUGAUUCUCCCAGAGGCCAGCCUCUCAGGACCCAGAGCAGAGCUGGAGAAGUGGGAGGAUGACUUAAGAGGCAGGUGGAGAAGACCAACAGCACCGUCCUCCUAGAGCCCAGACCAGGAACACUUUCUUCAUGCACAAAUGAGAAUGAUAGUUGAGUGUGUUCCUGGUCAUCAGAAGAGUGGAGUCUUUUCCAUGCCGUUCAUCAGUCCAGGAACCCAGACUGACAUGGAUUCCUCUAUCUUCAGCUCCCGGUUUCCAGCGUCACCCAGGAAACCACAUGCAGCCUUUAGGAUGGAAUGUGGAGCCCCCUGCAUGGAGGUUUUCAUGGCGCAGGCCUGGGAGAAGCACAGACCACUCUGCAGUAGUCCAUUCCCAAGAACCGGUGCACAUGUUGGAGGCGAGGUGAAAGGCAGCUGAGAAAUGUGCAGGGCUCAGUGUCCCGGGGGCAGCCACCUCCGCAGGACAGGUGUGGGAGGGGGAGUGCGUCAUUGCCUCCAACUGGGUUCUCUUCUCCACCACAUGGCACAGAGUGGGCACUCAGCACAUUGCUUAAUGAAUGAAACCCACUUCAUUUCAGUGUCGUGACCCUGAGAGAGUUUCUUAAAUAUUUUCACAUGCUGAAGCAACUGCAAUUCUGGGGUCAUUUGUGGAAUACUAUAUUUAUUGAUG